rnacentral:rRNA from 1 species
ACGCUGGCGGCGUGCCUAAUACAUGCAAGUAGAACGCUGAAGAGAGGAGCUUGCUCUUCUUGGAAGAGUUGCGAACGGGUGAGUAACGCGUAGGUAACCUGCCUUGUAGCGGGGGAUAACUAUUGGAAACGAUAGCUAAUACCGCAUAACAAUGGGUGACCCAUGUCAUUCAUUUGAAAGGGGCAACUGCUCCACUACAAGAUGGACCUGCGUUGUAUUAGCUAGUAGGUGAGGUAACGGCUCACCUAGGCGACGAUACAUAGCCGACCUGAGAGGGUGAUCGGCCACACUGGGACUGAGACACGGCCCAGACUCCUACGGGAGGCAGCAGUAGGGAAUCUUCGGCAAUGGGGGCAACCCUGACCGAGCAACGCCGCGUGAGUGAAGAAGGUUUUCGGAUCGUAAAGCUCUGUUGUAAGUCAAGAACGAGUGUGAGAGUGGAAAGUUCACACUGUGACGGUAGCUUACCAGAAAGGGACGGCUAACUACGUGCCAGCAGCCGCGGUAAUACGUAGGUCCCGAGCGUUGUCCGGAUUUAUUGGGCGUAAAGCGAGCGCAGGCGGUUUGAUAAGUCUGAAGUUAAAGGCUGUGGCUCAACCAUAGUUCGCUUUGGAAACUGUCAAACUUGAGUGCAGAAGGGGAGAGUGGAAUUCCAUGUGUAGCGGUGAAAUGCGUAGAUAUAUGGAGGAACACCGGUGGCGAAAGCGGCUCUCUGGUCUGUAACUGACGCUGAGGCUCGAAAGCGUGGGGAGCGAACAGGAUUAGAUAUCCUGGUAGUCCACGCCGUAAACGAUGAGUGCUAGGUGUUGGGUCCUUUCCGGGAUUCAGUGCCGCAGCUAACGCAUUAAGCACUCCGCCUGGGGAGUACGACCGCAAGGUUGAAACUCAAAGGAAUUGACGGGGGCCC